AGAGCGAACGCUGGCGGCAGGCUUAACACAUGCAAGUCGAGCGGGCGUAGCAAUACGUCAGCGGCAGACGGGUGAGUAACGCGUGGGAACGUACCUUUUGGUUCGGAACAACACAGGGAAACUUGUGCUAAUACCGGAUAAGCCCUUACGGGGAAAGAUUUAUCGCCGAAAGAUCGGCCCGCGUCUGAUUAGCUAGUUGGUGAGGUAACGGCUCACCAAGGCGACGAUCAGUAGCUGGUCUGAGAGGAUGAUCAGCCACAUUGGGACUGAGACACGGCCCAAACUCCUACGGGAGGCAGCAGCGGGGAAUAUUGGACAAUGGGCGCAAGCCUGAUCCAGCCAUGCCGCGUGAGUGAUGAAGGCCCUAGGGUUGUAAAGCUCUUUUGUGCGGGAAGAUAAUGACGGUACCGCAAGAAUAAGCCCCGGCUAACUUCGUGCCAGCAGCCGC
rnacentral:rRNA from 1 species